rnacentral:rRNA from 1 species
UACGGGGGGGGCGAGCGUUGUUCGGAAUUACUGGGCGUAAAGGGCGCGUAGGCGGUUCGCUAAGUUGGAUGUGAAAACUCUGGGCUCAACCCAGAGCCUGCAUCCAAAACUGGCGGGCUAGAGUUCUGGAGGGGGUAGCGGAAUUCCUGGUGUAGCGGUGAAAUGCGUAGAUAUCAGGAGGAACACCGGUGGCGAAGGCGGCUACCUGGAUAGAAACUGACGCUGAGGCGCGAAAGCUAGGGGAGCAAACAGG